rnacentral:lncRNA from 1 species
CAGGUGUUAUUAUAUUUUUAUUAAUGUUGUCUACUUUUUCAAUAUCAUCUUUUUUUUAACAGCAAUAUCCACAAAAAUAUGAACAGUAAAGUCUUAACAGUAAAGUAUUUAACUGUAAAAUAUGAACAGUAAAGUCUUAACAGUAAAGUAUUUAACUGUAAAAUAUGAACAGUAAAGUCUUAACAGUAAAGUAUUUAACUGUAAAAUAUGAACAAGUGUGCAAGAAAACAUGAGUUAUGGCACAUCAGAGCGACCAGAUACAAAAAAAUAGAUAUUAUAUUUCCUUCAUAAUCUAUAACUGAUCAUUCACAAUUAAUCAAGGCAAAAAGAUACGGUAGUGCUUUACGUCACAGUCCUGUCCCAGCUGGAAUUAACACAUUGUGGUAACAAUGGGGACUUUCAACCUGGUACCAAAUAGUCCUCGCUUGCAAUGAAACAAAUGUUUUUACCGUGUUAUUUCUAAGCAAAUACCAAGUUAAAGGGGACCGCAAAACAAAGCGUUACCAGAGAUACAUACUGUAUAUGCAUACACAGGAGAUAAAAAAACACAAUGAUGAGUCCAGGUAAAACUGACCCGAGGUCAGUGUCUAGGGACAGAAAUUCGUUUUAGGGUUCUAGCGUUCUGCACUGGGUAAGAUCUAGGAUCAGAUUCCAUUCCCCAAAUCCUGACCUAAUCUUUAGGGGGAGAACACUUUAAACUGACCUAGAUCAGCUAUAGUGAAUGAUGUGGGAAUGGGAGCACCACAAGACUUCCAUUGUGGAGCUUUGUGUCUUCUUUUAAGACUGUUCACUCAAAUACUCUCAACUAUUCUCAAGUCUAGGGCUAGAAUGUUGUUCCUGACCAAUGUGACCUGACCAGGUAAAACUCCUGGUCCUAACCAGCAUACAACACAAUACACCACAACAAGGCAAACCAUCAAUCAACCAAUCAAUCAAACAACCAAUCAAUCAAACAACCAAUCAAUCAAUCAAUCAAUCAAUCAAACAACCAAUCAAUCAAUCAACCAAUCAAUCAAACAACCAAUCAAUCAAACAACCAAUCAAUCAAUCAACCAAUCAAUCAAACAACCAAUCAAUCAAUCAACCAAUCACUCAAUCAACCAAUCAAUCAAACAACCAAUCAAUCAAACAACCAAUCAAUCAAACAACCAAUCAAUCAAAAUAACCGUCCGUGGAAUGAAUGAAUUAAGAAAUAACAAUAUUCUCCCUCAGAUAAUCACUUUUAAAAGACAUUAGGAAACUGUCUGUCUGUCUGUCUGUCUGUCUGUCUGUCUGUCUGUCUGUCUGUCUGUCUGUCUGUCUGUCUCUCUCUCUGUAUGUCUCUCUCUCUCUCUCUGUGUGUGAGAGAGAGAGACAGUGUUUUAAUGGUUCAAGUUUGUUUCUCACAGUGCUUAGCCUGUGUAUAAGAAGCUAUGCUAUGAGUACGGCCACUUCACUGCUUUGUAGAUGUGGUUGGCUCCCCAUUUAGUCACUAGGGGAUUGUGUGUGUGUGUGUGUGUGUGUGUGUGUGUGUGUGUGUGUGUGUGUGUGUGUGUGUGUGUGUGUGUGUGUGUGUGUGUGUGUGUGUGUGUGUGUGUGUGUGUGUGUGUGUGUGUGUGUGUGUGUGUGUGUGUGUGUGUGUGUGUGUGAACCUGCCUCAAGCUGAAUGAGGAAACAGAAUAAAUUCUAUCAGAAGGGAAAUAUUUACGCAAAAAUUGAACGUCCACAGAAAAGAUUCUGCAACAGGCUGACAUUCAAUUAAAGCGCAUUUUGUUUUUUUUGGUGGAAAAAGUUUAAUGCACUUUGAUUGAAUUCUGGCCUAGGUUUUAUCUUACAAACACUGUACAGUUGGAUAAUAAUACUCGACUGACCUGCUUCCAUUUAGAAAGAAACUCAAACCAAACCCAAAACAGCUACUCUCAAAACGUAUCACUUCUGCACAUGGCUUAAAGAAAGUUUAUACACUUUUGUUUUUAUUUUCUCUAGUGUCUUUUACAUUUUUUACAAUCAAGUUUGGUUUGGGAGUAGAGGAAUAGGACUGUGGAGGUGGGGACACGGGACACCACUUUGUAAUUUGCUCCUGUUCCUCAAUAGAACACACGAUGAGCCAAUAAGCAAAGCCCAUGAUGUGAUGCUUGCUCUCAUUGGCAGAACUAGUGAUGUAUCUAACCACUGAUAUAGGAUCAGAUAUUUGUACACCCCCCUUAUGGUUCAAGUUAAGAUUGGGGAUGAUAAUCUGAUCCUAGAUCUGUGGUUAAGGUAAACUUUUGCCUCAAGUGUAAGUUAAGGAGUGAAUGGAAACCUACAGUAUCUGCUAAGUGUAUGGCAAUAAAUUGACAAAAUAUUGAAACGAUAAUUAAUUAAAAAACAUAUAUAUAUACUUCUGGGGUUAAAAACUUGAACACAGUUAGCCUCUCAGUACUCGUCAGUACUCAAGAAAGAAGUUUCAUUAGGCUGAGUUUACACAGAUCUAGCAUCAUAAUACCCUCUCUAAAUCCUAACCUUUACCAUUAGAGGGAAAACACAAGACUGAUCUUAGAUCAGUAUAUAGGGGCAACUUAAUCCACAAAUCGACACAGCUGGAGUUUUGGCCUAUAGAAAACCCACUGACCAAGAACUCAAAACCAAAGCAGUAACACUGUUGAUCGAUAACCGUCGCUAGAGUGGGAGUGUAUGUAGCCUAUGCUUUAGCUCAGUGGGCUAACACAGUCUUGUGGCAUUGCAGAUGAUCCGGGUUUAAACACAGUGGGUACAUAUGCAGCAUGUACCACCAACCUGCUCAGUGUUUCAAUGCCAUGUUCACAAAAACACAAUGUCUUGUGGAAACACUGACAUUACCGUUGACCCAAGGUUUCAGGAAGGGGCCAUCCCCAUUGUGAUACUUAGCAAGUCAGUGGCAAGUCAGCCACUAUAUGGCUAACAAACACACCGUGUAUAGCCACAGUGGUUUAGUGAUGGGUAACCAUGCCUGAGACCUGAAGACUUGUAUUAGCUUCCACGGCUAAUGGCUAGGCUUUAGCUGAGAGGGCUAACACAUCUUGUAUCACACGGACGACCCAGGUUUUACACCAGAUUGGUCACACAUACACCCCCACCUCACUCCUUACCCUCAUGUACCUUAUACCCCUCACUCCACAGCACACAGAUACAUGCGAUCAAUCAAUCGAUUAAUCAAUGAAUCAACAAAUCAUAGAUUCACUAAAAUACAUGCUAUACAUCAGCCUAUGACUUCAUGUAGGCGACUGUGGAUUCCUAUUAAGAUAAUUGUCCUAAUCCCUUUUUCAAUUAAAUCUGCCAUCUCCACUUGAGUGUCACUAUCUCUGUGGGUGAGUAAGUAACCAGUAUCAGGUAGGGCUGCAUGUUAGUGCAGGCUUACCCUCAGCACCACAGAGACACAACUCAGGGCUAAUAUCACUAAUGUGGUAAUGUGGUCUGUAAACACAGACACCGCCCCCUAGCUGUGGCUAUUGAGUAUGGCGCUUUUCCAGAGUGGCUAUUUCGUUUCUUGUGUGUGUGUGUGUGUGUGUGUGUGUGUGUGUGUGUGUGUGUGUGUGUGUGUGUGUGUGUGUGUGUGUGUGUGUGUGUGUGUGUGUGUGUGUGUGUGUGUGUGGUAUGUAUAGCUUGACAGAGCUGGGCCUUGUUGGCUGUUGCAGAGUCAGCCGGUGGGAGUGUGCGUGUGGGCAGAGGUGUGUGUGUGGGCAGAGGUGUGUGUGUGUCUGAUGGGCAGAGACGAGUGUGCAGCUAUAGGAUGAUGCAGGGUUUCUUGUCUUUGAAAGGGUUUUCUGACGUUGGGACGCCAACGAGGAGCGGGUCGUUACGGGCGUGCUGCUCACAGUAACUCAUCAGGUCUGCCGCUGCCUUGGACACCUGGGGGGGAAGAGAGAGAGAGAGAGAGAGAGAGAGAG